rnacentral:lncRNA from 1 species
UUUUUUUUGGUAUUUUUAGUGGAGAUGGGGUUUCAGCAUGUUGGCCAGGCUGGUCUCAAACUCCUGACCUCAAGUGAUCUGCCUAUCUCAGCCUCCCAAAGUGCUAGGAUUAUAGGUGUGAGCCACCUCACCCGGCCUGAACCCAGAUUUCUGGUGGUCUUCCCACAUCCACAUCCUCAUCCUCAUCCUCCCUCCUCCCUGCUGAAGACAUGAGAACCAUUUCACUUUGCUUUAGACAAAAGAUGUUAUUCACACUUUGGGCACCAGGCUGCUGAAUAAUGAUUUUCCAACUUUCAUUUUAAAAACUAUUUUAAAACCAUAAAAAUGACAGAUUAUCAAGCUUCUUUACUGAUAAAAUUAAUUACAGAGAAUGAUUGAACUGAUAAGGAUUUCAUUUAGUAACUUGAGACUGUCUUUUGGAACUUUUUCCAAUUAAUUGGUUUGAGACAGUAAGGUCUGACGCCAAGUUAUUUUUGUCUAAUAAAUUUUAUGUUAUUGCUAGACUAGAACAUACUUCUUUAAAUACAAUCUAAAGAACAUAAAGAAGUAAAAAAAUAAGCCAUUGAAAAAUAAGCUAUAGGUUCUCCAACCAAACAAAACGUUG